rnacentral:rRNA from 1 species
UGCGGCGGACGGGUGAGUAACACGUGGGUAACCUGCCCAAGAGACUGGGAUAACACCUGGAAACAGAUGCUAAUACCGGAUAACAACACUAGACGCAUGUCUAGAGCUUGAAAGAUGGUACUGCUAUCACUCUUGGAUGGACCUGCGGUGCAUUAGCUAGUUGGUAAGGUAACGGCUUACCAAGGCAAUGAUGCAUAGCCGAGUUGAGAGACUGAUCGGCCACAUUGGGACUGAGACACGGCCCAAACUCCUACGGGAGGCAGCAGUAGGGAAUCUUCCACAAUGGACGAAAGUCUGAUGGAGCAACGCCGCGUGAGUGAAGAAGGGUUUCGGCUCGUAAAGCUCUGUUGGUAGUGAAGAAAGAUAGAGGUAGUAACUGGCCUUUAUUUGACGGUAAUUACUUAGAAAGUCACGGCUAACUACGUGCCAGCAGCCGCGGUAAUACGUAGGUGGCAAGCGUUGUCCGGAUUUAUUGGGCGUAAAGCGAGUGCAGGCGGUUCAAUAAGUCUGAUGUGAAAGCCUUCGGCUCAACCGGAGAAUUGCAUCAGAAACUGUUGAACUUGAGUGCAGAAGAGGAGAGUGGAACUCCAUGUGUAGCGGUGGAAUGCGUAGAUAUAUGGAAGAACACCAGUGGCGAAAGCGGCUCUCUGGUCUGCAACUGACGCUGAGGCUCGAAAGCAUGGGUAGCGAACAGGAUUAGAUACCCUGGUAGUCCAUGCCGUAAACGAUGAGUGCUAAGUGU